rnacentral:misc_RNA from 1 species
CUCGAAAUGAAUAAUUUGUGAGAGUGAAAAGCCAAUAAUCGUAAGGCCAACCAAACAGGCCCUUAGUAUCUCAACAAGCUUGGAUGCGAGAGAAGACAAAAAAAGACUCAAUUCUCACUAACAUGCAGCUUUUCCGCAGAUUUUCAGAUAUUACAACACUGGAAGAGUUGUCUAUCUUUCUAACAAGGGCAUAGAAGGAACAUGCAUCUCUUCGCCAAAAGAAACAUAAAUUCAACUGAAUGAUAUUUACUUGAAUGUCGAAAGGCGGGGGAGCUUGUCCCUCAGAUAGUACAGCCUUGCCCUCCGAACCUUCCUGUGACUGACGACUUUGAUCUCUUUUAUAUUUGGUGAGUAUAAAGGGAAGACAAUCUCCACACCGAUCCCUGCAAUAAUCCUCCGAAUCCGAAUCGUCGUGUGAAUCCCAGCAUUCUGCCUCGAAAUCACUAUCCCCUUAUAGAGUGACAAUCUCCUCUUGUUCUCCGGCACUUCCAAUUUAAUCUGCACAACAUCCCCAGUCCGGAUGUCCGGCACCGGCCUCACCUUCUCCGCCGCCUCCACCGCUCUCUUGUUCAAGAUUCCCAUGACAUCUCCGAGCUUGAUUAUAGGUUUUCUCUUCGGCUUCUCCUCCUCUACGGUUUCGGUUUCGGUUUCGGUUUCCUCUACCUCCGCGGCGGAUGGAUCGGCAUCUCCGGCUGUGUCUUCUGCAUCGGUAUCGGCGGUUGCGAGAAGGGGGUGGAGGCGGCGG